CAAAUCGCUCGAAAUUUUGAACACCUCGCGUUAAAAAAAAUAUACCAGGGUACCGAAUACCGGAAACAGAUAUCGGCCGGUGAUUUGGGCGGUUAAACGAAGAAUGGAUACAUAUAAAGAAGAGCACUGGAGAAGGGACUUCUAUCUCAUAUAAACACGAAAGAAGAAUCGUUAGAUUGGAAUGUUUGGUUAAGAAACCGGUGGCCAAUUAGCCCACGAAGGUCAUUUCUGCUAUAAAGUGUUGGAAAAAAGAAAGAUGUCAUAAAGGAUAUAUAGGCUCAUAGACAUUACUUGUUGUGGAGGAUUUUGAUAUUGGAAGUUGAUGAUAACCACAUAAAAUGCCAACCAGUUGAUAGCUUUAAGUGAAGAUGCACUGAAAAGUUGACCGUACAUUGUGUGUGAUCGUACAAGAACUGUUGGAAUUUGCAAACUUUUAAACUUUCAUUGUGACAAAUACCUAUAUCAUAAACUAUCUACUUUUCACAUUGACAUGCUUUUUUGGUUAGGAUGUAUACACAUGAUGUAACAACUAUACUUGUCAUGUAGAAGAAAAUAAUUAUUAGUGAUAUAUUUAAGUCGGUUUAAAAACAUUAUGUAUUUGAUUUCAUUGACUGUUACUUGUGAUAUCAUAAGGUAUUCUUGUGCACUUUUCUUACAUAUAUGCUCAUUUGAUUAUAUAAAGAAUUACUUGUUUAAAUAUGUUUUAUUGUUGUAUUUUGCCUGAUUCAAUAUAGUUUUUAUAACAGUUUAAUUAAGUUUAGUACUUAUGGAAAAUUAUGUACGCUUAACAAUAGAACAUGUUCCACAUUUGAACACCAUCAAUUUGAACACCUAUGUCAACUGUUCUGAAUGUUAACGUCUGGUGUUUUGAAUUUUAACAUUUUGGGUUUUGAACAUGUUCGGUGUGUUCAAAAAGUGUUACAUGGCUGUUGAACGCGUCAACGUAUUAAUAUUUUGAACAUUCGGACACGUUAAAUCGUUGAACACUAAUGUUAAGGUCUUUAACAUCAAGUGUUCAAAAAUGAAACACAAAGGCAUUAAAAACUGAACACCACACAUUCAAUUGAUGAACACUAGUGUAAACAUUUGGAACACCAUUACACGUUCAAAAAGUGUUACAAAAAAGCGUUCAAGCAGUGUUCUAUUUAUUAACACUUAGAUUUACA